UACGGAGGGGGCGAGCGUUAUUCGGAAUUAUUGGGCGUAAAGGGCGCGUAGGCGGCCCUGUAAGUCAAAGGUGAAAUCCCUCGGCUCAACUGAGGAACUGCCUUCGAUACUGUAGAGCUUGAGACCGGAAGAGGUAAGUGGAACUGCGAGUGUAGAGGUGAAAUUCGUAGAUAUUCGCAAGAACACCAGUGGCGAAGGCGGCUUACUGGUCCGGUUCUGACGCUGAGGCGCGAAAGCGUGGGGAGCAAACAGG
rnacentral:rRNA from 1 species